rnacentral:rRNA from 1 species
UGACCUCAAAUCGGGUGAGACUACCCGCUGAACUUAAGGCCCCUUAA